rnacentral:rRNA from 1 species
AUUGAACGCUGGCGGCAGGCUUAACACAUGCAAGUCGAGCGGAGAUGAGGUGCUUGCACCUUAUCUUAGCGGCGGACGGGUGAGUAAUGCUUAGGAAUCUGCCUAUUAGUGGGGGACAACAUUCCGAAAGGAAUGCUAAUACCGCAUACGUCCUACGAGAGAAAGCAGGGGAUCUUCGGACCUUGCGCUAAUAGAUGAGCCUAAGUCGGAUUAGCUAGUUGGUGGGGUAAAGGCCUACCAAGGCGACGAUCUGUAGCGGGUCUGAGAGGAUGAUCCGCCACACUGGGACUGGGACACGGCCCAGACUCCUACGGGAGGCAGCAGUGGGGAAUAUUGGACAAUGGGGGGAACCCUGAUCCAGCCAUGCCGCGUGUGUGAAGAAGGCCUUAUGGUUGUAAAGCACUUUAAGCGAGGAGGAGGCUACUGAGACUAAUACUCUUGGAUAGUGGACGUUACUCGCAGAAUAAGCACCGGCUAACUCUGUGCCAGCAGCCGUGUAAAAC